rnacentral:rRNA from 1 species
UACGGAGGGUGCAAGCGUUAUCCGGAUUCACUGGGUUUAAAGGGUGCGUAGGUGGACAGGUAAGUCAGUGGUGAAAUCCCCGAGCUUAACUCGGGAACUGCCGUUGAUACUAUCUGUCUUGAAUAUCGCGGAGGUAAGCGGAAUAUGUCAUGUAGCGGUGAAAAUGCUUAGAUAUGACAUAGAACACCGAUUGCGAAGGCAGCUUACUACACGAUCAUUGACACUGAGGCACGAAAGCGUAGGGGAGCAAACAGG